rnacentral:rRNA from 1 species
AGUGGCGCACGGGUGAGUAACACGUGACUAACCUACCCUGGAGUGGGGGAUAACUGGGGGAAACCUUAGCUAAUACCGCAUAACACCUACGGGUCAAAGGAGCAAUUCGCUUCAGGAGGGGGUCGCGGCCGAUUAGUUAGUUGGCGGGGUAAUGGCCCACCAAGACAGUGAUCGGUAUCCGGCCUGAGAGGGCGCACGGACACACUGGAACUGAAACACGGUCCAGACUCCUACGGGAGGCAGCAGUGGGGAAUUUUGCGCAAUGGGGGAAACCCUGACGCAGCAACGCCGCGUGGAGGAUGAAGUCCCUCGGGACGUAAACUCCUUUCGAUCGGGACGAUUAUGACGGUACCGGAAGAAGAAGCCCCGGCUAACUUCGUGCCAGCAGCCGCGGUAAUACGAGGGGGGCGAGCGUUGUUCGGAAUUAUUGGGCGUAAAGGGUGCGUAGGCGGUUUGGUAAGUCUUAUGUGAAAUCUAUGGGCUCAACUCAUAGACUGCAUGAGAAACUGCCGGGCUUGAGUAUGGGAGAGGUGAGUGGAAUUCCUGGUGUAGCGGUGAAAUGCGUUGAUAUCGGAAGGAACGCCGGUGGCGAAAGCGGCCUGCUGGACCUCUUCUGACGCUGAGGCGCGAAAGCUAGGGGAGCAAACGGGAUUAGAUACCCCGGUAGUCCUAGCCCUAAACGAUGGGUACUAGGUAGGAGACUUAACAUGGGUUUCCUGCCGAAGCAAAAGUGCUAAGUACCCCGCCUGGGGAGUAUGGUCGCAAGGCUGAAACUCAAAGGAAUUGACGGGGGCUCACACAAGCGGUGGAGCAUGUGGCUUAAUUCGA